AAAUUUUUUAACGAUGACGUCUAAAUUAAAUGCAAAGAAACAACUUGUAAGAAAUUAUACUGACUGGGGGAAAAAAUUGGUAAUUGAUUUAGUGUUGGCAUUUAAAUCAAAAAUCGAAAAUAUGAAACUAUUUAGGAGUAGAGCAAAAACACAAAUGGAAGGGACCUCUGGUAUAUAAAAUGCUUGGGAUGUGUCCACAGCCCAUAUAAUGGUCAAAUAUACUCAACUAUGGUGCAAACAGUAUUCUUUAUCAUGCGAGCAGUGUUCGGGCCAACAGGGUCAAUUCAGACGUAGAAUCAUAGAGCUUAGACUAAUCCGGUUUGGAUCAAAAAAAAAAAAUGAAGCUUGGUCUGAGAUCAACAGUCUGUAUAACGUGCAACAUAAAUCUGGUGUCAAAAUAGAUGAACAGCUGAAACAUAUAUAUGAUCGACUCAAACCAGAUGCCAGAAAAAAAAGAAGUCAUGGGAAGCGAGCAUUUUGUACAUUCUGUCUGGGAUUAGGACGGCAAAGAUUCAGAUGUGCUCAAUGCAAAUUGCUUACUCGCAGAAAUUUUCAUAAACUUGGUAAAAAUGCUUGCACUAAUGAUUCUUUAGUUAGUGAUGAUACCGAUGAUGGAGAUCCUCUGACAUCUCAAAGUACACUUUGCUCUGAUAUUGAUUCGCCGGAUUUAAAAGAUUGUUCUGAUCAAAACUAUGUUAUUGAUCAACCAACUGAUUCUGUACCUAUUGAACGUCCACAAGUUAUAACAGAUGAUAAAGAAGUUAAAGUUCCAUGCCAAUAUUCUAUUGCCGACUUUGAAUUAAUUAGGAUUAUUGGUCGUGGUAGUUAUGCCAAAGUGGUUAUGGUUGAACUUAAAAAAAACCAACAAAUUUAUGCUAUGAAAAUUAUAAAAAAAGAACUACUUACAAGUGAUGAAGAUAUUGAUUGGAUACAAACAGAAAAACAUGUUUUUAAAACUGCCUCUAACUAUCCAUUUUUGGUUGGUCUCCAUUCUUGCUUCCAAACAGUCAGCCGAUUAUUCUUUGUGAUGGAAUUUGUUCGUGGAGGUGACUUAAUGUAUCUUAUGCAAAGACUAAAACGACUGUCUGAAGAACAUGCUAAACUUUAUGGAGCAGAAAUUAGUUUAGCUUUGAACUUUUUGCAUGCUAAAGGUAUAAUAUAUCGAGAUUUAAAAUUGGAAAAUAUAUUACUUGAUCAUGAGGGCCAUAUAAAAUUGACAGAUUAUGGAAUGUGUAAACGGGGAAUAAAGCCUGGAGAUACAACUUCUACAUUUUGUGGUACUCCAAAUUACAUGGCUCCAGAAAUUUUAAAACAAGAAGAUUAUGGAUUUAGUGUGGAUUGGUGGGCCUUGGGAGUUGUUUUGUAUGAAAUGUUGGUCGGUAAAAGUCCAUUUGGUGAAGUAUCAGAAAUUACCGAGGAACAAUUAUUUGAUGCCAUUUUAGAAAAUCCUCUUAGUAUUCCAAGAUCACUUUCUUUUCAAGCAGCUUCGGUUUUGAGAGGAUUUUUAAAUAAAAAUCCUGGUGAUCGUUUGGGUUGCAAUGAAUACACUGGCUUCUAUGAUCUUAAGACUCACCUAUUCUUCAAAUCUAUCGAUUGGGAUAUGUUAGAACAAAAGAAAGUUAGUCCUCUUUAUAAACCACAACUAAAUUCUGAUCAUGAUCUUGCUAAUUUUCCAUCAGAAUUUACAGAUGAACCUACAUAUUUAACACCUGAUGAUCUAUACGAGAGGUGCUGCUUUCACAUUACUGACUUCCUAGAAUCAUUUGAUAUAAUCAUAGAAAUAUCCAAGACUACACAGGAAAAUUCCUAAAACAGCCAUAUGUAUAAUCAUUACCUGUUUGAGUUUGGCAUAAAUAUGUCGACAGAACAUCGAUCAGCUCAAAUUCGAGGGUUUUGAAUAUGUGAACACGUUUUUGAUGUCGUAAAUGAGUAACACGAGGAUUCCCGUAAUAUGGAGCAUUUCCAUGUUUGAUAAUCAUAACUCGCCACUGUCUAUAGGGGAUGGUCUGCUUACCUCCCCAGCCCCGCCAUAACAAACAUUAUUAUUAAAAUAUUACGAAUUUGCCGACGAUAAAGUCAUUUAUUUUAUGAAAUUUUUAUUAUUUUAGAAAUAUAAAUAUAUUAUUAUA